ACUCCUACGGGAGGGCAGCAGUAGGGAAUCUUCCACAAUGGGCGCAAGCCUGAUGGAGCAACACCGCGUGAGUGAAGAAGGGUUUCGGCUCGUAAAGCUCUGUUGUUAAAGAAGAACACGUAUGAGAGUAACUGUUCAUACGUUGACGGUAUUUAACCAGAAAGUCACGGCUAACUACGUGCCAGCAGCCGCGGUAAUACGUAGGUGGCAAGCGUUAUCCGGAUUUAUUGGGCGUAAAGAGAGUGCAGGCGGUUUUCUAAGUCUGAUGUGAAAGCCUUCGGCUUAACCGGAGAAGUGCAUCGGAAACUGGAUAACUUGAGUGCAGAAGAGGGUAGUGGAACUCCAUGUGUAGCGGUGGAAUGCGUAGAUAUAUGGAAGAACACCAGUGGCGAAGGCGGCUACCUGGUCUGCAACUGACGCUGAGACUCGAAAGCAUGGGGUAGCGAACAGGAUUAGAUACCCUGGUAGGAUAGCG
rnacentral:rRNA from 1 species